rnacentral:rRNA from 1 species
CCUACGGGAGGCAGCAGUGGGGAAUAUUGCACAAUGGGGGAAACCCUGAUGCAGCGACGCCGCGUGAGUGAAGAAGUAUUUCGGUACGUAAAGCUCUAUCAGCAGGGAAGAAAAUGACGGUACCUGACUAAGAAGCCCCGGCUAACUACGUGCCAGCAGCCGCGGUAAUACGUAGGGUGCAAGCGUUAUCCGGAUUUACUGGGUGUAAAGGGAGCGUAGACGGCAGCGCAAGUCUGGAGUGAAAUCCCAUGGCUUAACCAUGGAACUGCUUUGGAAACUGUGCAGCUAGAGUGCAGGAGAGGUAAGCGGAAUUCCUAGUGUAGCGGUGAAAUGCGUAGAUAUUAGGAGGAACACCAGUGGCGAAGGCGGCUUACUGGACUGUAACUGACGUUGAGGCUCGAAAGCGUGGGGAGCAAACAGGAUUAGAUACCCUAGUAGUC